ACACUUGCCUGCCAGAGGAGACACUAUGAUCACUAAGACUUCCCCAUGGCAGGGUUGAUUUAUUGCACUCCGAUGUGCUGACCCCUGCGAUUUCCUCAAAUGUGGGAAACUCAAUUGCAUAAUUUGUGGAAGUAAAGGAUUGUGUUUUUGCAUUCA
ensembl:snRNA U1 U1 spliceosomal RNA